UUUAUUGAGAGUUUGAUCCUGGCUCAGGACGAACGCUGGCGGCGUGCCUAACACAUGCAAGUCGAACGGGAACCUGGGGGCUUGCCCCCGGGGGACAGUGGCGGACGGGUGAGUAACGCGUGAGCAAUCUGGCUUUCGGAGGGGGACAACAGCUGGAAACGGCUGCUAAUACCGCAUGACGUAUCGGA
rnacentral:rRNA from 1 species